AUUGAACGCUGGCGGCAUGCCUUACACAUGCAAGUCGAACGGCAGCACGGGUGCUUGCACCUGGUGGCGAGUGGCGAACGGGUGAGUAAUACAUCGGAACGUACCUUAUCGUGGGGGAUAACGCAGCGAAAGCUGUGCUAAUACCGCAUAAGCCCUGAGGGGGAAAGCGGGGGAUCGAAAGACCUCGCGCGAUUAGAGCGGCCGAUGCCUGAUUAGCUUGUUGGUGGGGUAAAAGCCCACCAAGGCGACGAUCAGUAGCUGGUCUGAGAGGACGAUCAGCCACACUGGGACUGAGACACGGCCCAGACUCCUAUGGGAGGCAGCAGUGGGGAAUUUUGGACAAUGGGGGCAACCCUGAUCCAGCAAUGCCGCGUGAGUGAAGAAGGCCUUCGGGUUGUAAAGCUCUUCUGUCAGGGAAGAAACACCGGCUCUAACACAGUCCGGGAAUGACGGUACCUGAAGAAUAAGCACCGGCUAACUACGUGCCAGCCGCCGCAGUAA
rnacentral:rRNA from 1 species